GGCUAACAUGCAAGUCGAACGAGAAUGUUCUUUCGGGAACAGGACAGUGGCGCACGGGUGAGUAACGCGUGCGAAUCUACCAUGGAGUGGGGGAUAACAGUUGGAAACGACUGCUAAUACCGCAUACGCCCUACGGGGGAAAGAUUUAUUGCUCUAUGAUGAGCCCGCGUUAGAUUAGGUAGUUGGUGGGGUAACGGCCUACCAAGCCUACGAUCUAUAGCUGGUCUGAGAGGAUGAUCAGCCACACUGGGACUGAGACACGGCCCAGACUCCGCGGGGGGAGGCAGCAA
rnacentral:rRNA from 1 species